AAAAAGGUAAACUAUGGGUUUACGUGCCCAACUUUGUCUUAUAUGAAAAUUUUUUUAUAAUUCGUAUUUUCAUUGUUGUUAGAUGAUAAAACAUGAUUAAUAUUUUAUGCGUGACUUGUCUUUUUAAUUUUUUUCAUAAUUUUUUCAAAUAAGACGAACGGUCAAACUUUGGUCACGAAAACCAGGGUUUGUCUUUUU
rfam:Oryza sativa (indica cultivar-group) chromosome 6, whole genome shotgun sequence.